AAUAGUUUUAUUAUUCCAUGUUACUUGUUUUGGGUCCCUGUGGAACAAUGCUAUACCCUCUACUUUGACUUAAUCGACCUCUUCAAUGGUGGGGCCUGAAGAAGCACCACCAGAUGGAGGAGCUCCUCCACCAGGGAAGCCACCAGGCAUUCCUCCAGGCAUGCCACCAGCACUCUGGUACAGCUUGGUGAUGAUAGGGUUGCAGACCUUCUCCAGUUCUUUCUGCUGAUGCUCAAAUUCUUCCUUCUCCGCAGUCUGUUGCUUUCAUGUUGAAAGCAUAAGACUCCAGCGAGUUCUUAGAGGAAACCUUAUCUCUCUGCUUCUCAUCCUCAGCUUUGUACUUCUCAGCUUCUUGGACCAUGCGCUCAAUAUCCUCCUUACUCAAGCGGCCCUUGUCAUUGGUGAUGGUGAUCUUGUUCUCCUUUCCUGUGCUCUUAUCUACAGCAGAAACAUUGAGGAUGCCAUUGGCAUCAAUGUCAAAAGUAACCUCAAUCUGAGGAACCCCACGGGGUGCUGGAGGUAUGCCUGUGAGCUCAAACUUCCCAAGCAGGUUGUUGUCCUUGGUCAUGGCCCUUUCACCUUCAUACACCUGGAUGAGUACACCUGGCUGGUUGUCAGAGUAGGUGGUGAAAGUCUGGGUCUGCUUGGUGGGAAUGGUGGUAUUGCGCUUGAUGAGGACAGUCAUGACUCCACCAGCAGUUUCAAUCCCAAGGGAAAGAGGAGUGACAUCCAAGAGCAGCAAAUCCUGAACAUUCUCAGACUUGUCUCCAGAUAGAAUGGCUGCCUGGACAGCUGCACCAUAGGCAACAGCUUCAUCGGGGUUAAUGCUCUUAUUCAGCUCUUUUCCAUUGAAGAAGUCUUGCAGAAGUUUCUGGAUCUUGGGGAUUCUGGUAGAACCACCCACCAGGACAAUAUCAUGGAUCUGUGACUUGUCUAGUUUGGCAUCUCGAAGGGCCUUCUCUACAGGGUCCAGUGUGCCACGGAACAGGUCAGCAUUCAACUCCUCAAAUCGAGCACGGGUAAUGGAGGUGUAGAAGUCAAUUCCCUCAUAGAGAGAAUCAAUCUCAAUACUGGCCUGGGUGCUGGAGGAGAGGGUGCGCUUGGCCCGCUCACAGGCAGUGCGGAGACGCCUGACAGCUCUCUUGUUCUCACUGAUGUCCUUCUUGUGCUUUCGCUUAAACUCAGCAAUGAAAUGGUUGACCAUUCGGUUGUCAAAGUCUUCUCCGCCCAAGUGGGUGUCUCCAGCUGUUGAUUUGACUUCAAAAAUUCCAUCCUCGAUAGUGAGGAUUGACACAUCAAAAGUGCCACCUCCCAAGUCAAAAAUGAGCACAUUCCUUUCAGCCCCGACCUUCUUAUCUAAGACAUAGGCAAUAGCAGCAGCAGUUGGCUCAUUGAUAAUUCGAAGUACGUUGAGGCCAGCAAUAGUUCCAGCAUCUUUUGUUGCCUGUCGCUGAGAGUCAUUGAAGUAAGCUGGCACGGUGACCACGGCAUUGGUAACAGUCUUUCCAAGGUAAGCUUCUGCAAUUUCCUUCAUUUUUGUCAGAACCAUUGAAGACACUUCCUCAGGAUAGAAACUUUUUGUCUCCCCUUUGUAUUCGACUUGGACCUUGGGCCUGCCUGCAUCGUUCACCACCAUGAAGGGCCAGUGCUUCAUGUCAGACUGAACAACAGCAUCAUCGAACCUACGUCCGAUCAGACGUUUGGCAUCAAAAACUGUGUUGGUGGGGUUCAUUGCAACCUGAUUCUUGGCCGCAUCCCCAAUUAAUCGUUCUGUGUCGGUGAAAGCAACAUAGCUCGGCGUGGUGCAGUUACCCUGGUCAUUGGCAAUUAUUUCCACCUUUCCAUGCUGGAAGACACCCACACAGGAGUAGGUGGUGCCAAGAUCAAUGCCAACUGCAGGUCCCUUAGACAUGGUUGCUUGCGUGUAGGCCCAGCUGUGCUGAUGACGAGACCACACAGAGAUCCCCGAGAGCUGGCUCCGCGUUCAAUGAG
rnacentral:lncRNA from 1 species